AAGACCUGGAAGUAAAGGAUAAAGAUGUCAUGGGCGGGACUGACACGACCUUCUGACCCUCUGCUAAUCCCUCUAUCAAGCUCCAUUCCAAAAUUAUUCCUAAUUUUCCGAUGGGUAACUAUAGUAUGCCCUGAUGGAAAUUCCAACUACCAGCCUACGAUGGAGUCUAGCUGGAUCCAGCUCCUGCUCCAGUUGGAUACCAUCUGGAAUUUGGGGAUGAUCUGUUGUCUGUACCAAGGUGGACCCCCCAACUGGCCAUGGUCUUACCAGCACGGUUGCAAUCUUAACCCAGAGGUACCACCAGGGAUUUUGGGCCCCAUGAAAAGAUCUCACACUGGGUUCCACCACCCCAGAAAAUCCUAUGUUCUAAUAUUUUUUGGGGCCACUGGAGUCUCUGUUCAACCAUCUUGUUGGCAGCUUGACCAUCUCCAAACCAGCUUUAAACCAGGCUGAAACCAGCUUAAAACUAGGCUAGAUCCAGUUUAAAACCAGGCUGAAACCAGCUUAAAACAAGGCCAGAUCCAGUUUAAAACCAGACUGAAACCAGCUUCAAACCGGGCCAGAUGCAGUUUAAAACCAGACUGAAACCAGCUUCAAACCCAGGCUGGAUCCUGGCUGGAAUUUGCCCUCCUCUCCCCCCAGCCGUAGCCCUGGGUCAGCCGGCUCUUCCGUUACCUUCUUCUCGUUGUCCAGGUGCAGGAAGUAGGUGGGGUAGAGGCCGCGGUCCAUCCCUCGCUUGUCCCGGGUAACUUUGCACUUGACCGUGACGCCCUGCUGGGCCGGCUGCAGCACAAACUCCUCCAGGCUGUUGAACUCGAUCACGGGCGAGGGGGCCCUCUCCUCCUAAACACAAACCACGCAGGUCAGUACCGCCACAUCAGCAGAGAGAGGAGCCACAGCUCCCCCUAGAGGUGCUGUUCAUCCUUUCGCAUAAGUCAGUCCUGAUGCAGAGGCUGGUUAUUGGUUUAAAUAAAAAAAAACAUCAACGUCAGAAAAACUAGCCAGUGUGUUUAUCAAUUAAUAUGUGUUCGUGAUGACUCACAUUGCUGAAGGUCAGUCAUAAAUCAUAAAUCAUUUCUGCUGCAUAAAUUGAUAUUAAACUCCAGCCAACCAACACUGUGCAGUGUCAUUAACUUGCCAACUAAUUUAAGCAAGUGAUUAAUUUAAUUUAAUGCCAUAACAUGGCAAGUUAUUUUGCAAGGUGGAUCGAUAUAGAUAGUGACUGAUAUCACUGCAUAUCUCUGCACUGACGAUUUUGUAGUUCGUAAUCCCAGGCGAUUGAGGGCGGAGGGUUUCUGUUGGAGGUGGAUAUAGACCCACCUUCUUUCCCUUCUUCCCUUUCCCCUUUUUCUUCUUCACUUCUGAGUCAUCAUCUUCAUCACUCUCUUCGGCCUUUGAAGAUCCUGAGAGAAGAGGAGGAAGGGGUGAAAGAAUAUUGGCUCCCUUUCUCCGUUGUCCUAAACACCUUUGGCUUGCAAAAUAUGACAAAACUGUCCAUUGAGACUGUCCAUUAUCUCCACACACAUACGGGGAGUUCAGCCAUCAGCAGUAAAAGGUUGCUACAAGCCCGGGCGUGCACAGAAAUCACCUACAUUUACUCUCCAAACCAUCUCUGUGAAUAAAGCUAACUUACAUUUAUUUGUAA